AUUUGGAUUAAUUGCGACAGUCACUGAUGAACAAUAUGAUAGGAAUGAGAAUGAAUGCGUUUAACGACACUGGUCUCGGCGAACCCGAACAAGAUGCGAACACGGCACUUAUGGAACUCAAUAAAGGUUUACAUUUUGCCAAAACUGGAGAACAGUGCGAAACUAUAGUACGUUUUCCUCGAUUAUUCGAAAAAAAUCCCUUUCUUUAUAUUGAUAAAUUCGUCUCCGUUGAAAUUGGCUGAGGUAUUUCGCACAGGAAGUAAUUUUUUACGAGUUUGGGUUCUAGGAGUAUGUUAGCAGAGCGAGAAACAUCUGGACAAAAUCCUGAAUGUGGACGAAUUUAUAAGGCGCAUUUAUAGCGUUAUACAUUCAAAUGAUCCAGUUGCGAGAGCUCUUUGCGUACAUUACAGUAUAAGAAGAUCCUUGGACUCUCAUGAUUCAGUCGAAGUAGAAGCUGCGAUAUACGCUGCACAAACGUUUGCUGCACAGUCCAAGUUAUUUGCUGUGUGUAGCAAGAUAUCCGACAUGAUCAGAGGUCAAGCUAAACCCGCUUCGAUGAAAUUGCAACUCAUACCUAUCUUGCAAUACAUGCAUCACGACACUUUCACAGCAUCAAUAGUAUGUAAUGUUUUUCAUGCAUUA